GUAGGUGAACCUGCGGAAGGAUCAUUAACACGUAUCACCCUGUGAACUUUCAGACGCUCUUGUAGCCCAAGCGGAACAGCAAUCCCGGUAAAUCAAUGGCGAAAAGAGUUUUGAUUCGGGACCUCUGUCCAUCAGGUUACAAUAGAAGCUAGGAGCAGUGGCAUGGUUUCCUGAAGCAGUGCCGAAGGAUGCACUGAGUAUGGAUAACGCAUCACGGUUGCCAGAGGUCGAUCACCGGCCGGCAGACAUGUCACAGGGCUACAUGCCCCUUAAUUCACCCCUUGCCUAAUCACGCCCCGCGGAAACGCCGGGCACUAAAAACCGAACAACUGUUAACAAUGGAUAUCUUGGUUCUC
rnacentral:misc_RNA from 1 species